rnacentral:antisense_RNA from 1 species
UUGCUGCGCAGGACCCCUUGAAAAAAAAUGAGGACCCGUCUUUUUUAGGUCACAAGAUUGCGCCAACCCUCACAUGGUCCUUAAAAAAAAAACCUUCUGACACUGCAGUAGUGAAAAUGAAGUGCACGAUGGGCGGAAGCUAGGAAGACACUUAAAGAUGAAGUGCUUAAUUCAAGGUCACAGAAUGUCGGGGAUGGACCUCCAGAUUUCCUUACUGACCUGCAUUAUCUUGUGGAUACCUGAGUGAAUUCCACACCACCCAUUUUAUAGAUGAAGCCACUGAGACGUGGAGCAACUGACUGAGUAGUCACUGCCCCACCCCUGCCUGGAGCCUCACACAUGACUUCUCUUAGUGACCACAGGUGAGACGUGGUCUUGUAACACAGUGGUUAAGAAUGUGACUUUGGAGCCAGCCUGCUAGGGGCUGAAUUCUGACUCAGCCAUUUAUUAACUGUGUGACCUUAGUCCUAGUCUAGUAACUGGUAUUGUCAUAAGAAGAGAGGGACACAGAGGGAAGUUGGCCACAUGAAGAUGGAGGUAGAGAUUGCAGUUAUGCUGCUGCAAACUAAGGAAUGGCUCUGGCCCUCCAAAGAUUGCUGAUAACCACCAGAAACUAGAAGAGACAAGGAAGGAUUCUUCCCUAGAGCCUUCAGAGGGAGCAUGGCCCUACUGACACCUGGAUUUCAGACUUGUAGCUUCCUAAACUGCAAGAGAUUAAAUUUCUGUUGUUUUAAGCCA